CAGCCAGUGCUGAAGCCAUGGAUGAAAAUCACUCUGAGAAGCUUUUCAGAGCUUGGCUGGGGACACAGAAAGGUACCAGGUUAUCCAUUUAGGAGCAGGAACACAGAACAAGGUGGCCUGGAUGGAUGAAGUAGAGCACUGGUCUUUGGAAAGAAGCCCUGUUGCUCCUACCCCAUGGGAUUCCUGUCUCGAUGAGAUGUACACAUUGUGGAAAGAUAGAUCCUUACGAAGGAGAUGAGAUGAAAAGACUGGAUUUGAUCUUGGGCUAACCGUGCUCAAGUAUACACACGAGCUUUACUCAGUUCAGACGGAUACUGGGGCUCCGUAUGUCAAGGUUCGAGCAGGAUCUGGGGUGCUGUGCUCUCUCCAGGGACCCUGCUCAGGCUCCUGUUGUCUUGAACAAAGAAUGGAAUGCGAAGUGAGACAGAGGGGUUUUAUAUUUAUUAAAGGUAUUAAA